GAUGAAGAACGUAGCAAAAUGCGAUAAGUAAUGUGAAUUGCAGAAUUCAGUGAAUCAUCGAAUCUUUGAACGCACAUUGCGCCCGCCAGUACUCUGGCGGGCAUGCCUGUCCGAGCGUCAUUUCAACCCUCAGGGCCCUCCAGCAGGGCGCUGGUGUUGGGGAUCGGCAGUCCCAGCGGCUGCCGUCCCUGAAAUGUAGUGGCGGUCCCACCGUGACCUCCCCUGUGCAGUACAUCGCUCGCAGAGGGACAGCGGUGCGGCCACGCCGUAAAACGCCCAACUCUUCAAGGUUGACCUCGGAUCAGGUAGGACUACCCGCUGAACUUAAGCAUAUCAAUAAGGGAGGA
rnacentral:misc_RNA from 1 species